AGUGAACGCUGGCGGUAGGCCUAACACAUGCAAGUCGAACGGCAGCACAGUAAGAGCUUGCUCUUACGGGUGGCGAGUGGCGGACGGGUGAGGAAUACAUCGGAAUCUACUUUUUCGUGGGGGAUAACGUAGGGAAACUUACGCUAAUACCGCAUACGACCUACGGGUGAAAGCAGGGGAUCUUCGGACCUUGCGCGAUUGAAUGAGCCGAUGUCGGAUUAGCUAGUUGGCGGGGUAAAGGCCCACCAAGGCGACGAUCCGUAGCUGGUCUGAGAGGAUGAUCAGCCACACUGGAACUGAGACACGGUCCAGACUCCUACGGGAGGCAGCAGUGGGGAAUAUUGGACAAUGGGCGAAAGCCUGAUCCAGCAAUACCGCGUGGGUGAAGAAGGCCUUCGGGUUGUAAAGCCCUUUUGUUGGGAAAGAAAAGAAGCAGGUUAAUACCCCGCUGUUCUGACGGUACCCAAAGAAUAAGCACCGGCUAACUUCGUG
rnacentral:rRNA from 1 species